rnacentral:rRNA from 1 species
UAAUACCAGCGCCACAAGUGGCAACCGCGUUUAUUGGGCCUAAAGCGUUCGUAGCAGGUUUAGCAAAUCUUUUGUGAAAUCGCAAAGCUUAACUUUGCGGAGUGCAGAAGACACUACUAGACUCGAGACCGGGAGGAGUGAGAAGUAUUUCCAGGGGACCGGUAAAAUGGUUUAAUCCUGGAAGGACUACCGAUGGCGAAGGCAUCUCACCAGAACGGGUUUGACUGUGAGGGACGAAAGCUAGGGGAGCGAUCCGGAUUAGAUACCCGAGUAGUCCUAGCUGUAAACGCUGCGAGCAAGGUGUUGCGCCUACUACGGUAUGCGCAGUGUCGAAACGAAGGUGUUAAGCUCGCCGCCUGGGAAGUACGGUCGCAAGGCUG